rnacentral:rRNA from 1 species
AUUGAACGCUGGCGGCAGGCUUAACACAUGCAAGUCGAGCGGAGACGAGGUGCUUGCACCUUAUCUUAGCGGCGGACGGGUGAGUAAUGCUUAGGAAUCUGCCUAUUAGUGGGGGACAACAUUCCGAAAGGAAUGCUAAUACCGCAUACGUCCUACGGGAGAAAGCAGGGGAUCUUCGGACCUUGCGCUAAUAGAUGAGCCUAAGUCGGAUGAGCUAGUUGGUGGGGUAAAGGCCUACCAAGGCGACGAUCUGUAGCGGGUCUGAGAGGAUGAUCCGCCACACUGGGACUGAGACACGGCCCAGACUCCUACGGGAGGCAGCAGUGGGGAAUAUUGGACAAUGGGGGGAACCCUGAUCCAGCCAUGCCGCGUGUGUGAAGAAGGCCUUAUGGUUGUAAAGCACUUUAAGCGAGGAGGAGGCUACUGAGACUAAUACUCUUGGAUAGUGGACGUUACUCGCAGAAUAAGCACCGGCUAACUCUGUGCCAGCCGCCGCGGUAAAAC